rnacentral:rRNA from 1 species
UACGUAGGGGGCUAGCGUUGUCCGGAAUCAUUGGGCGUAAAGCGCGUGUAGGCGGUCCGGUAAGUCCGCUGUGAAAGUCGGGGGCUCAACCCUCGAAUGCCGGUGGAUACUGUCGGGCUAGAGUGCGGAAGAGGCGAGUGGAAUUCCUGGUGUAGCGGUGAAAUGCGCAGAUAUCAGGAGGAACACCAAUUGCGAAGGCAGCCCGCUGGGACGUUACUGACGCUGAGAUACGAAAGCCAAGGUAGCAAACAGG